rnacentral:rRNA from 1 species
UGGGGAAUUUUGGACAAUGGGCGCAAGCCUGAUCCAGCCAUGCCGCGUGAGUGAAGAAGGCCUUCGGGUUGUAAAGCUCUUUCGGACGGGAAGAAAUGGCGGGCUCUAACAUAGCCUGUCGAUGGCGGUACCGUAAGAAGAAGCACCGGCUAACUACGUGCCAGCAGCCGCGGUAAUACGUAGGGUGCGAGCGUUAUCCGGAUUUACUGGGCGUAAAGCGCACGCAGGCGGCUCUGUUAGUCGGACGUGAAAGCUCUCGGCUUAAUCGGGAGAGGCCGUUCGAUACUGCGGGGCUUGAGGUAGGGAGAGGAAUGCGGAAUUCCCGGUGUAGUGGUGGAAUGCGUAGAUAUCGGGAGGAACACCUGUGACGAAAGCGGCAUUCUGGCCCUCACCUGACGCUGAGGUGCGAAAGCGUGGGUAGCAAACA